rnacentral:rRNA from 1 species
UACGGAGGGGGCUAGCGUUGUUCGGAAUUACUGGGCGUAAAGCGCACGUAGGCAGCUUUGUAAGUUAGAGGUGAAAGCCCGGAGCUCAACUCCGGAACUGCCUUUAAGACUGCAUCGCUUGAAUCAUGGAGAGGUCAGUGGAAUUCCGAGUGUAGAGGUGAAAUUCGUAGAUAUUCGGAAGAACACCAGUGGCGAAGGCGACUUACUGGACACAUAUUGACGCUGAGGUGCGAAAGCGUGGGGAGCAAACAGG